rnacentral:lncRNA from 1 species
AAUGGCCCCCACCUGUGUCCGUAUCAGCACGCCUGGACCAGCUCAGAACAACGGCCCCCACCAAUGUCUCAGUCUCCAGAGAGGAUCCUCCUCUCACUAAGAUGCCCCCAGAGCCCACCAGAGAUCUUCCCCUGAGGCGUUCAAUGGAUUCAUCUGACAGAAGCGGAUAAACCUCCUCACCAGAGAAGUGGGGCACCUCAUGCCCAGGCUGCCAUCGCUUACCCGCGCGCUCCAGAAGCCGCAGAGGAAAGAGCAUCCUUCUUCCCAUCCCCAGAGAGCCAGGAGUGGGCUCAGGAUCCAAGCUCAGCUACAAAGAUGUUCAUGCCAAGAGUAGUCUAGGAAUCUCCGAUGACAGUGCUGCAGUGUCCCCACAGCAGAGAGAGUGCCCCACAGCACACGGCUGCAUCCUGGCUGGAUUGUCUCUUGUGAAGUGAGCCAUUAUAGAGGCAGCGUGCACCCUAAGCAGCAAGAGUGGUGGCCGUUCAGCUCCUUCCCUGGGAACUACUCUCAGCAUCUCAGCAUCAAGCUGUCACAGCUUUGAACUGUGCCUAUUUGCCCAGAUGACCAAGAUUAGGAGAAGACAAUUUAAGAACUUCAUUUUAGCAAUCAAACUUUAAAGCAAGAGAGAUGGGGGAAAAUGACAAUGAAAAGAUGAAAGAAAAAAAGACUAAACAGACUCUGGCAGUCAGAGGCCUGGAGUAUGGAGGUCUUGAUCUAAAGGUAUUGGGCAGAAGCCCUCCAUGUCUACUUGGAUGAUUGAAGUUCUUGGGAGAGCUGUUUCCAUCAUGAUGAAGUUUAAUUCUGGAGAAUCCCAACCCCUUUCAUCAGUGUGGCUAUUGAGUAGGCACAAGUGACUAUGUGGCAGAGAUCCUCAGCUACAGAUUUGUUGUGGAUUAUAUGGCGGAGCACGUACAAGAGAGAACUUGAAUUUUUUGUAGGCCCAAAAAUAAGGCUGGGUAUUUUAAACCUCAAGGCAAACAAUUUAAAAAUUUCUCCUUUGUCAUUGACAAUUUGCAAAAUGAAAGAUCUCCCUGCCUUUCUGUAACUCAUGAAUUUAUUUAUUUAUUGAGAGAAAAAGUAGGAUUUGUAUAGUUUAUGGAGGAAAAUCAGAGCUAUAAUCCUAAAAUACAGAUGUGCAAAUAAUAAUCCUUCAUUUAGGUACAUGCUAUCUAAAAGAUAAAUUCACGACUCCAUAUUAAUAUGCACAAAAUAUGUCCCAAUGAAGCUUCAAUCUCCCCAACACACUCCACCCCCAACUAGCUCGAUACCCCAACCACGCGGACUUCAUCCUUCCCCAAAACACCCUUUUCAGCCUCCUGUCUUUGGACAUGAUGCUUCUUACACAAUAAAUUUUUCUUCUAAUU